GACAAAUACCAUAUGAUUUCAUUUAUAUCUGGAAUUUAAGAAACAAAACAAAGAAAAAAAGAGACAAAAAAACAAACUCUUAAAUACAGAGAACAAACUGGUGGCUGCCAGAGAGAUGGUGGGUAGGAAGAUGAGUGAAAUAGAGGAUUAAGAGUACAUUUACUGUGAUAAGUACCGAACAAUGUAUAGACGUGUUGAAUCAUUGUAUUGUACACCUGAUAGUAAUGUAACACUCUAUGUGAAUUACACUUCAAUAAAAAGAGAAAAAAGGAAAGAAAUGAAUGGUAUAAGGACUAAAAAAAUAAAAUAAAAUUGCUGUUACUAUUUGCAGAUACUAUCAUGUGUAGGUAGAAAACACAAGAGAAUCUACAUAUGAUUUGUUGUACUUAAUAAGUGUAUUUACUAAGUUACCUAGAUAAACGGUCAAUGUAAAAGUUAAUUAAUUAUAAUAAUUGUAUCUACAAGCAAAUAGAAGAUAAUAUUUUAAAUGAUAUCUGCCUUUAAAAAAACUUAAAAACCUAGGAACGAAUCUAAUAAAAGAUGCAGAAGACCUCUAUAUAGAAACCUGUAAAACGUAGAUCAGAAGAGUUAAUGGUGUAAAGAUGUCAGUUGUCUCCAAAUCCCAGCGGGAUUUUUUUUUAAUUAUAGAAAUCGACAACUGAUUCAAAAUUUUAUGUGGAAAUGCAACAGGCCGAGAAUAAGUAAUACAAUCUUAAAGCAGAUCAAAAUUGGAGUUACAGCAAGAGUUAUGAAGCUACAGUAAUUGAGACAAACUAGACAAAUAGGCCAGGGAAGCAGAAGAGGAGUCCAGAAACAGGCCCACAGUUCUGUGGAGAACUGACUUAUGUCAAGAGUGGCACAGCAUAGCAGCGGGGAAAAUGUUUUACUUUCAGUAACGGUGCUGAGUAGAUUGGAUGGUUUGAUUGGGGGUAGGGGGGACCUGACCUCUAUCUCAUAGACAGAAACACAAAGACUGCCUACACGUCCAAGAAAAAACUGCAGACGAUCCAGUAGAAAAUUGAGCAAAACUUUUAAAAAGGAAGAUAUUUGAAUUGCCAACAAACAUAUGCAAAGGUGUUUAAUUUUAUUAGUCAUCAGGGAAAUGCAAAUUUUAAAACCGGUAUGACAUCAGUACAUCAAAGUGGUGAAGGUAAAAGGAACGUGCUGUAAAGAAUGGGGAGCAAAAAAAAAAAAAAAGAAUGGGGAGCAUCUAGAAUGUUUAUACGCUGCUGGUGUGAAUAUAUAAACCUCAAAUCAGGCCAAACCUGCCUAUAAUGUUAGAAAUCUGGAUACGGUUGCCUCUGGGGAGAAGGUAAUGGGAUAGAGACGGGGAAAGAACACAGGUGGGAAGGGUAGGAGCCUUGGGGGUGCAGUUCUAUUCCUGGGUAAUAUAUUUCUUGAUCUAUAUGGUGAUUAUCCAUCUGUGUUCACUUUGUGAUACUUCAUCAAGCUGUACACUUAAGACUUGUAAACACGUCCCUGUAUACACACUUCAAUUAUUAAGUUUAUAUAAAAACCGACUCCGGUUUUAAGAACUCGAGAUUGCAGCCAUCAAAACCAGACAGACUAUGACGCAGGCUGACAUGAAUUUUCUCAAAAUUUUGUGACCUUAAAGCAUUGUUUUAAUAUGAGGACAAUAUCCCUUGGUUCCCCAGUUCCUUAAAAGCUUCUUCUAGCAUCUCCUAGGCAAGACUUCUCAAAGUUGUGUUGCCUUUAACAAAACUAAGAAAUCUGGCAACUGUGGAAGUGUGAAGCAUUUAGUCCUUUUCUUCAAAUGCUCCUCCAGACCUUGAGCAGUAGAUACAACUAGUUGAGGAGAGAAGGCACUGAAAGACCAUUAGAUCUCAGCAUGGGAAGGGACCCCAGAAGUCAUUAGCCUAACCUUAUUCCACACACAGGAGGCAUCCUGCAGCACUGAGGCAUGUAGUCAUUUAGCGUCUGCUUAAACAUCUUCAAAGUCAGGAAGCGAAGGCAGUCUAUUUCCUGGAUGAAGAGGUUUCCACGUCUGCAGGUCAGUCUAUGAAAAGCUCCUAAUCCAGCUCUCUUUAACUCAGACCCCUUAGAUAAAAAAGAACAACCUCUCUCUAAAUAACAGCACUUCAAAUACAAGAAGCAGACGCCAUGUUCACCAGAGAGUUUCUCUUCUGUACGCUGAACAUCUCAGUCCCUUCAACCCUUCUCACGCUAAAUCAGACACUGUCAUAUUGGAGAGAAGACUUUUGAAUCAAUUUGAUUCAGUCUGUCAGAGAUCCGGGUUAAGGAUAAAAUCCAGCUAUGGGAGAUGACCACAGCCAACAGCAAUUUUGUGGGUAAGCAGAAGAGGUUAUUGCCUGCUCUACGUCAUUUGAGGAGCAGAUAAAUUUUCUGCGAAUAAAACAUGUUCCCCACUUGCCUACUUUGAAACCUGAAAUUUUCAUAUCAAUCAUAACUUUGUGUUAAGGCAUCAAAGAUUGCUAUGAAAAAAAAAAUGUUAUAGAGUAGCCAAACACGAACAUCAAAGAAGAAACUAGCUCUGGAGAUGAGAUAGAAGACUGAGGAAACACAUGAGGGGGCAGGUGUAUUAGAGGAGGGUGAGAAGGUCAGAAAGUACUGGAGAACGAAGCAGCCCAAGAGGACAAGACAGUUAGGGUGCCAGAGGAUGGUGCACCUAGGAACCUGGACUAAUGAAGAUAUAAACACCUAAAAAGAAAAUGAAACUGAAAACCGGAAGAGAAAUGGACAGCUUGCCAAGAGCAGCUCUUCUCAAAGGCACAGACAAGUGAUCUUCUCCCCUGAGAAAGUCCAAGAACUAGUGGGAGGCUCAGAAGCAACAGCAUGGAACAUCUCUCCCUUUCUCCCUAUCUCUCUCUCUCUGUCUCUCCCUCCCCCCUCCCUCAUCUACACUCCCCUCUCCUUUCUUUUUUUUGUCACUAUGCAGUUGGCCCACCAGGCACUGUCCCUGUGACUCCCCAGCUUCCAUGCCAGUGACUGGAAAUUUCAGUUCCAGGGAAACCUAAAGCAUCGCUAAGGUGAGGAGAAAGGAAGACUCCAAUUUGCCAGCUCUGACAUCCUCAGCACCUGCUGUUAAUCACACACAUGCACUCAGGCGUGAUUUAGUGGCUCCUGUGAUUGGCCAUUUCAAUUGCUGUCUCUGUAGAUCACUGUCCCAGCUGAAUAUCCAGGGACCACAUUCAUCAAAAGCAUAAUUUGGGCGGAACGUGACUGUUUUUCCAAAACUGGAAGGAUGGCAUCAGCAAGAAAAAUUGGCAGUAUCUUUAAAGAAAGUUGGUUGUCUCCAAAGAUAAUGGAUAGUGGUUUUUAUAUCUACUAUUAAAGGGAAAUUAUCAGUUCCUCAGGUGUGUUUUUGAAAUUAUGGGGGUAUUUAGUGUUGACCACCCGUGAAAACAACCAAGACACUAAGAAUUCAGCCAGUGUCAUUCUGGUAGGAGUUCCCAACAUCUGAAAAGUAGGCCAGUGAGUUAAGUGAUGCCAGCCCCACCCCUCAGCCUCAACAACUGGCCCAAGCAGGCCUAGUCAGAGUCCUACUCGGAUAUUUUCUCCUGGAACAGGAAAGGAAGAAUCCAUCUUCCUGCUUUGUAAGGUGUGAGGAUGCGACCAGAGCUCCCUGCAGCUAUGUGGAAGGGUCUGAGCAGAUGAAGCUAAUAUGCAGAGAGAAUCUAGAAUACAAGAUAGAUACAAAGAGUCAAUCCCCCGUUCCAGUCACACAAGUCUCUAGAGCUGCCUCUCCCUACGGCUCUCACAUAAGCUACCCAGGACCUUUCCAAUACUUCUCCCCUCCGCCUUUUGCUCUUAAGCUAGUUACACUUCAGUUUCCAUCACUGGCAACCCAAAGAUUCCUAACACAGAUACUAGUAUCAGGAAGUAGACUGAGACAGAUGGCAGAGACUUAAAAGUAGACCAGGCUUGGUUGAUAGGACACAGAGGCAGGGAAAAUCACACCACUGCCAGCUGGGAAGGUGGCAAUCCAUCUUACAUGAAAACAGAGCGUACAUGUUAACUAUUACCUUAUUAUACCUGGGCAGACAGACCAUGAUAACAGUUUGGUGGCUUCGUAGAAAAAUAUUAAGAAAUCAGAGUAUGUUGGGUCCUGCCUUUAGCCUUCAGUAAGGUCCUUCAAAUGGAGGGUAACCCUCAAUGCAAGACGGCAUUUCUUCAAAUGGUAGGAAGUAAGUAGAUAUACAGCACUGUUAAGACAGAGCCCGUUUCUGUCUGUAGCCAGUGAUCCAAAGCUGCCAAGGGUCAGAAAACCAUGCUACCUGCAAAACUCUUCGGCAUGAACCUUCUGCUCUGCAGUGAAGUCAUUCCACAAACAAAGAGAGGGUAUACCUGGGAGUAACCUAGAAAUAAGGAAAACCCGACCACACAGAUUUCUCCCAAACAGCUUCUGCUGUGCACAACCCCCUGAAAGAGGGUAGUAAUUUUUCACAUUGUAAGGUACAAAUGAUUGGGAUGCAAACAGGGGCCAGAGCUCUGUUUUACGCACUCCACCUAUUGCUUCAGUUGCCUUAGAGGCAGAGGCCAAGGAGAAAUUAUUAAAGGGAAGCCAUAGGAGGAUGUUUCUACCCAUAGGGGUAUGUUUCUAGAAGAUAUAAAUUUCAGAGGCAGGGUCCAAAGUCAACUAUUAGGACUCAACAAGAUUUCUGGUUGGUUAUAAAUCAACAGAGCUCAUCAGCAUGAACUCAGCUUUGAUAGCCCACUAGCCCUUUACAAGAAGGGCUGAAGAAACUCUGAAACUAGAAGCCUGUAACUGCUCCUUUUCUAAGGCAACCCCUGGGUUCCUGUAAUCAUAAUGACAGCAACUGGGCUUCUGGAAGAAUACAGCCUCCCAUGAGCUGUCUCCCUAUCUACUGUGGCCACUAAGAGAAGUGAUCAAGGCAAAAUUUUGUGGAGACAGAAUUCCAAAGAUCUAACACUAACCCACUAACCAGGACAGUGAGCCAAAAAUAGAUAUGCUUCACUGGUCCUGUGGAAUGAAAUAUGGAAUAUUCUUUGGAGUUGUACCCAUUUUGUUGCUUAUCCUUCCUCCUUUUUUUUCAAACAGGAAUUUUUAUUUUAGCUACUCUCUUUUUCCUGCAUUGUUGUAUCUUGGACAGGUUAGAAAUAGCUAAACUAGUCUAUUGCCCCCAGGAUUCAAAAUCUGGCAUAUCAUAUCUGACCUGAGAGAAAGACAUUUCUUCCAAAGCCCUUGGACCUGUUAGUAGAUGCAAUACUUGAUGAUACUUUGAAAUACCUACUUGAAGGAGCAGUGAGUGUAUCUGUGAUUACAUGCAGACUCACUACUUUAUUUAAGCAGCAGGUGGAAUUUUACAUAAGGAAUGAAGAGUGUGGGUGGAUGUGUAUACACUAGGGAGCCAUGGGGAGGACUGUGCUAUCUGCAGGGUCACUCAUGAAACCUUACUCCCAGCCAUAGAAAUCGAUCCACAAUGAGAUCCAUCAAAGUUAUUGUCUAGGUUCUUUCUGCUGGGGCUUGAAGGGCAGAUUUCUCUUUCUUCUUUGGUUACAAUCAGGAAGAGCGUAAUCCCAGAGCUGCUGAAAGACAAAGUCCCCAGUACCCACUAAAGCACCUUUGUGCAAAUAGAAAACUGUACCUCCCUCAAAUCAUUUUACUGGUUUUUGUUAGAGAAGACACUUGAGUGCCAUCUGCUGGAAAUUUGCCAUAAUAAAACUAUGAAUCUACAGUGAUAUCACGACACUUGGAUGCAGCGUAAUUGUACACUGCACACGAAACAGUCAUGUCCCCCACUACAUGGGGAAGUUUGACCCUAUCAUACCAAUACCCCAAAAGAAGCAGAUGUGAUAAGAAUUAAGAAACGCCUGCAGGCUUCAGGUUUCCGUUUCCACUUCUGAAAGUCUCCAGAGUUGGCCUGCACCUGUGGCCUGUUCCAGUUCGUAAACCACUACACGCUCUUCGUAAUAUAUUGCUUUUUUCUUAAGCUAGUAGCUAUAUACUGAGGUUUUGUUCUUUACAACCAGAAAAGUCCUGGAAAAUAUCCCCAAUUUCACUCAUUAUCUAGCCAUAUGACCUUGUAGCUAAGUCAUUUGACUUCUGUGAGCCCAGGAUUCCUCAGCUAUAAUUUGGGCAAUUAUUGGAAGAGAAGCAUAUGAAAUAAACAUAUGUGAAAGGGCUUUGAAAGUACAAUAUGCCAAGACAAUAUUGAAAAUGAAGGUGAUGAUGACGAUAAUCAGACAGGGCGAGAGAAUAUGCAAAAUCUAUUCUUAUUAUUUUUAGAUUUCCUGUCUUUCUUUCCUUUCUUUCCUUUCUUUCUUCACAGCACAGGGGAGUUUUUUAAUGUAGAAAGGAAGAAAAAAAGAGUGGAACUUCACUAACUUAAGUCAAAAUCAAUAGGCAUAGGGAGAAGGAUUUGUUUGUGACCCUCUGAAUAAGAAGAGGCUCAGGAGUCUGUCCUGUCUUCUUCCAAAAGGAAGAAUUAAAGAUGGAUAACAGGGAGAUGGUAAGUAUGGUCUGUAGCUAUAAAUAUCAGCUCCCAUCCAAAAUUAAUAAAUUAAAAGAUCAAACCUGAGACGUCUCAUUUCCAUCAUCUCGAUGCGUCUGAUCAGCUACCUAUUACAGGUGUCCCUCGGCAGCUCAACAAGUUGUUGAAAAAUACCAAUUACUCUCAGAAACAAAAGAGGAAAUACAAUUAGCAGCUGUUACUAACCCAGGUCAAAGACCUUCACCUAUACCAACCAACCACUUUUAGUGGUGAUAAAAUCAUCUGUUAAACAAGCAAUCAGGUUGAAAAAAGAAGGCUCUGGCGCCUGGGUGGCGCAGUCGGUUAAGCGUCCGACUUCAGCCAGGUCACGAUCUCGCGGUCCGUGAGUUCGAGCCCCGCGUCGGGCUCUGGGCUGAUGGCUCAGAGCCUGGAGCCUGUUUCCGAUUCUGUGUCUCCCUCUCUCUCUGCCCCUCCCCCGUUCAUGCUCUGUCUCUCUCUGUCCCAAAAAUAAAUAAACGUUGAAAAAAGAAGGCUCUAUAUAGGGCAUAAUCUACUAGAUUGUUGACCAUUGGACAUAAGCAGGGACCAAUACAUCACUGUACUUUGAAACACCAGACUGCACUCUUUCAUUAGAAUGACCCAAUAUA